rnacentral:rRNA from 1 species
UAGAGUUUGAUCCUGGCUCAGGAUGAACGCUGGCGGCGUGCUUAACACAUGCAAGUCGAACGGUGAAGGAGAGCUUGCUCUUUGGAUCAGUGGCGAACGGGUGAGUAACACGUGAGCAAUCUGCCCCUGACUCUGGGAUAACAGUUGGAAACAGCUGCUAAUACCGGAUAUGAGACGUGACCGCAUGGUCGACGUUUGGAAAGAAUUUCGGUCGGGGAUGAGCUCGCGGCCUAUCAGCUUGUUGGUGAGGGUAAUGGCUCACCAAGGCGUCGACGGGUAGCCGGCCUGAGAGGGUGACCGGCCACACUGGGACUGAGAUACGGCCCAGACUCCUACGGGAGGCAGCAGUGGGGAAUAUUGCACAAUGGGCGAAAGCCGGAUGCAGCAACGCCGCGUGAGGGACGACGGCCUUCGGGUUGUAAACCUCUUUUAGCAGGGAAGAAGCGAAAGUGACGGUACCUGCAGAAAAAGCGCCGGCUAACUACGUG